rnacentral:tRNA from 1 species
UGCAGGGUAGUGUAAUAGAAACACGUCAGCCUCAUAAGCUGAAGAAUGGUAAAAUCCAGUUGCUGGUGCAAGUCCAGCCUCUGCAC